UUGGUCGCCUUUAGAUGAAUCUCUGCAAUUCCUUCAUCGUUGCACCGUACUGUACGUUCUUGAUUUCCUACUUCACCUCGCAGAGCGCAUUUCGUGCUGCAAGGUUUUCUGAUGAGAAAGUUGCAAUCUUGGAUGAUGUGGAAUUGUUAUGUUUGAACCCAGAGCUGAAGGAGCCUUAGCCAGAGAGAGAUGGCCCGGGAGGAAGGAGACACGAGCGACUCGGAUGGAGCGAGCUUUACACUUUUGCUUACCUCCGCCCCGCUGCGGCAUUUCUGACGGUGAGCAGGGCAAUAAAAUUGAGAUGGAGGUUGAUUCGAGGCUGUCAAAGCCUUACAAGCACCAUGCGCGUAUAGCUUGCACCUUAACUUGCCACCAGAUGGAUUUUCUGAAGUGUUCCAUUGCUGGAGCUUCAUAUGGCGUGGAGCAUAUUGCAUCGGAUAGUGGGUAUGAUUUCGGCUCAUCAGAAGUGAAUCAGAAGAAGGGAUUACUCGCAUGAUUGAGAAGUCACAAAAGCCUGCAACAAAGGGUUCAUGCAAGGAAAUUGGGAGCAGGGGCCUUGUGCUGGUGUACUAUCCUUGUCAACUUGAGGGUACACAGCAAUUCCGGAGCCAAAUGAAAAACUGGUGGUUCUACACACGAAAUGAAAACAACGAGACGAAGGAAUUGCCGGUGUGUUUGAAUUUUCUAAGCGGACUGGGUCAAAUGUCUUCAUGAAGGAGAGACUCUUUCAGAGGAUCCUGCAGAGAGGUCACAACCGAAUGCAAAUGGUGCUGGUGUUCAAGAUUGUGAAUGAAUUGGAGUCACCAACAGCAAAAAGGGCAGAGAUCAUCAUUCCUUUUUGCAAAGGAGUGACAGGUACAACUGAACUACUCUUGUCAUUAGAACACUACCGGUGGUUGCCGGGUAUCUUUGCUAUUGUUUGAGUUCGGUGAUCUUCUUCUUGUGUCAUAGAAUAUGGUCGUGCAUGUAAGUUCCAUCUGGUCAACCUCAUAUCUUUGGAGCCUAAAGGAACAAUCUGUUUUUGUUAGCUUGAGCAGCAUUGUUUUGGAUAUGCUGUCAAUAGGAGUAAGAACAAUAUGUUCUUUCAAGAGAAAAAACAAAA